rnacentral:sRNA from 1 species
UACUGGUCUGUCUUCCGACGAUGUGAGU